GACGGAAGGUGCAAGCGUUGCUCGGAAUCACUGGGCGUAAAGGGUGCGUAGGCGGCCUUCUAAGUCGAACGUGAAAUCCCCGGGCUCAACCCGGGAACUGCGUCCGAUACUGGAAGGCUUGAAUCCGGGAGAGGGAUGCGGAAUUCCAGGUGUAGCGGUGAAAUGCGUAGAUAUCGUGAGGAAGACCAGUUGCGAAGGCGGAUCUCUGGGCAGUUCCUGGACACUG
rnacentral:rRNA from 1 species